rnacentral:rRNA from 1 species
GAUGAACGCUGACAGAAUGCUUAACACAUGCAAGUCAACUGUGGCGGACGGGUGAGUAACGCGUCAAGAACUUGCCUCACCGAUAGGGACAACAUUUGGAAACGAAUGCUAAUACAUGAUAUUGGGAGAGAGCGUUGCGUUCCAUUAGCUAGUUGGAGAGGUAACGGCUCACCAAGGCGAUGAUGGGUAGCCGGCCUGAGAGGGUGAUCGGCCACAAGGGGACUGGGGCGCGACCCUUACGCAAACGUGAGGCAGGAGUGAGGAAAAUAGGACGAUGGGCCGAAGACUGAUGCAGGUAUUCUGUGUGUAAGAUUAAGUUUUCGGAAUGUAAAGUGCUGUCAGUUGGGAAGCGGUACCAACAGAGGAAGUGACGGCUAACUACGUGCCAGCAGCCGCGGUAAUAC